rnacentral:rRNA from 1 species
GUGGGGAAUAUUGGACAAUGGGGGAAACCCUGAUCCAGCGACGCCGCGUGAGUGAAGAAGUAUUUCGGUAUGUAAAGCUCUAUCAGCAGGGAAGAAAAUGACGGUACCUGACUAAGAAGCCCCGGCUAACUACGUGCCAGCAGCCGCGGUAAUACGUAGGGGGCAAGCGUUAUCCGGAUUUACUGGGUGUAAAGGGAGCGUAGACGGCACUGCAAGUCUGGGGUGAAAGCCCGGGGCUCAACCCCGGGACUGCUUUGGAAACUGUGGUGCUGGAGUGCAGGAGAGGUAAGUGGAAUUCCUAGUGUAGCGGUGAAAUGCGUAGAUAUUAGGAGGAACACCAGUGGCGAAGGCGGCUUACUGGACUGUAACUGACGCUGAGGCGCGAAAGUGUGGGGAGCAAACAGGAUUAGAAACCCUGGUAGUCC